UACAGAGGUCUCAAGCGUUGUUCGGAUUCAUUGGGCGUAAAGGGUGUGUAGGUGGCGCCGUAAGUCGGGUGUGAAAUUUCGGAGCUUAACUCCGAAACUGCAUUCGAUACUGCGGCGCUUGAGGACUGGAGAGGAGACUGGAAUUCAUGGUGUAGCAGUGAAAUGCGUAGAGAUCAUGAGGAAGACCAGUGGCGAAGGCGGGUCUCUGGACAGUUCCUGACACUGAGACACGAAGGCCAGGGGAGCAAACGGG
rnacentral:rRNA from 1 species